CUUCGUUUUCCUCGGGUUUUGUUGUGUGUCCUGCUUACCAAGCAUUGAUAUCAAUUCGCCGAUUUGAUAGAUGAGAUGGUAACUAGCUGAAAACAGUAAUAAUUAGAAACCCAAGAGCGAUUUUGCGACGCCCUGCUGUGAGCCGACCCUAGCAGUCAAGGCUUCGUAAAUCAGAUUUAUCUGUCAGGUACAAUCACAGGAAAUGUUGUGGCAAAGGUAUGGCUUAAGAGAAAUCAUGUACCUAGAUGAUUUGUUGUCUA
rnacentral:lncRNA from 1 species